rnacentral:rRNA from 1 species
CCUUCUGGUUCGUGCACUCGGCCGGCUGCCGUGCCAGCAUCAGUUCGCUGUGGGGGAUAAAGGCUUUGGGAAUGUGGCUCCUCCGGGAGUGUUAUAGCCCAUUGUGUAAUACCCUGUGGUGGACUGAGGUUCGCGCAUCUGCAAGGAUGCUGGCGUAAUGGUCAUCAGCGA